AGUGAACGCUGGCGGUAGGCCUAACACAUGCAAGUCGAACGGCAGCACAGUAAGAGUUUGCUCUUACGGGUGGCGAGUGGCGGACGGGUGAGGCAUACAUCGGAAUCUACUUUUUCGUGGGGGAUAACGUAGGGAAACUUACGCUAAUACCGCAUAUGACCUACGGGUGAAAGAAGGGGAUCUUCGGACCUUGCGCGAUUGAAUGAGCCGAUGUCGGAUUAGCUAGUUGGCGGGGUAAAGGCCCACCAAGGCGACGAUCCGUAGCUGGUCUGAGAGGAUGAUCAGCCACACUGGAACUGAGACACGGUCCAGACUCCUACGGGAGGCAGCAGUGGGGAAUAUUGGACAAUGGGCGCAAGCCUGAUCCAGCCAUACCGCGUGGGUGAAGAAGGCCUUCGGGUUGUAAAGCCCUUUUGUUGGGAAAGAAAAGCAGCAGGUUAAUACCCCGCUGUUCUGACGGUACCCAAAGAAUAAGCACCGGCUAACUUCGUG
rnacentral:rRNA from 1 species